UACGGGGGGGGCAAGCGUUGUUCGGAAUUACUGGGCGUAAAGGGCUUGUAGGCGGCCAACUAAGUCCGACGUGAAAUCCCCAGGCUUAACCUGGGAACUGCGUCGGAUACUGGAUGGCUUGAAUUCGGGAGAGGGAUGCAGAAUUCCUGGUGUAGCAGUGAAAUGCGUAGAUAUCAGGAGGAACAUCGAUGGCGAAGGCAGCCCCUUGGACCUGUACUGACGCUCAUGCACGAAAGCGUGGGGAGCAAACAGG
rnacentral:rRNA from 1 species